GGAUCCAUAGGGAGGGAUACCAAUCCAGCCUUAGGAGGAAGGAGGAAAAGAAACCUGUCACGGGAGUCUUGGAGAUUGGCGACCGUCAUAAUGACUUA
rnacentral:pre_miRNA from 1 species